rnacentral:rRNA from 1 species
CAGCCGUAAACAAUGUGCGUUAGGUGUGUCGGUAACCACGCGUUACUGAUGCGCCGAAGAGAAAUCGUGAAACGCACCACCUGGGAAGUACGGUCGCAAGGCUGAAACUUAAAGGGAAUUGGCGGGGGAGCACCACAACAGGUGGAGCCUGCGGUUUAAUUGGAUUCAACGCCGGACAUCUCACCGGAUAAGACAGCUGAAUGAUUGUCAAUCUGAAGGUUUACAUGACUAGCUGAGAGGAGGUGCAUGGCGUCAGUGACU